UCAGGACGAACGCUGGCGGCGUGCCUAACACAUGCAAGUCGAACGGACGAGGGGAGCUUGCUCCUCAAGUUAGUGGCGGACGGGUGAGUAACACGUGAGCAACCUGCCCUUCGGAGGGGGACAACAGCUGGAAACGGCUGCUAAUACCGCAUGACACAGCGGGGAGGCAUCUCCCUGCUGUCAAAGAUUUUAUCGCCGAAGGAUGGGCUCGCGUCUGAUUAGAUAGUUGGUGAGGUAACGGCCCACCAAGUCAACGAUCAGUAGCCGGACUGAGAGGUUGAACGGCCACAUUGGGACUGAGAUACGGCCCAGACUCCUACGGGAGGCAGCAGUGGGGAAUAUUGGGCAAAUGGGGGCAACCCUGACCCAGCAACGCCGCGUGAAGGAAGAAGGCUUUCGGGUUGUAAACUUCUUUGACGAGGGACGAUAGUGACGGUACCUCGAAAACAAGCCACGGCUAACUACGUGCCAGCCGCCGC
rnacentral:rRNA from 1 species